GACGAACGCUGGCGGCGUGCUUAACACAUGCAAGUCGAACGGAAAGGCCCUGCUUUUGUGGGGUGCUCGAGUGGCGAACGGGUGAGUAACACGUGAGUAACCUGCCCUUGACUUUGGGAUAACUUCAGGAAACUGGGGCUAAUACCGGAUAGGAGCUCCUGCUGCAUGGUGGGGGUUGGAAAGUUUCGGCGGUUGGGGAUGGACUCGCGGCUUAUCAGCUUGUUGGUGGGGUAGUGGCUUACCAAGGCUUUGACGGGUAGCCGGCCUGAGAGGGUGACCGGCCACAUUGGGACUGCGAGACGGACCAGAAUGCUACGGGAGGCAGCAGUGGGGAACAUUGCGCAAUGGGCGGAAGCCUGAGACAGCAACGUUGCGUGCGGGAUGACGUCCUUCGGGUUGUAAACCGCUUUCUACUGUGACGAAGCGUGCGUGACGGUAAUGGGUAAAGAAGCACCGGCUAACUACGUG
rnacentral:rRNA from 1 species